UACGUAGGGUGCAAGCGUUAAUCGGAAUUACUGGGCGUAAAGCGUGCGCAGGCGGUGAUGUAAGACAGGUGUGAAAUCCCCGGGCUCAACCUGGGAACUGCAUUUGUGACUGCACGGCUAGAGUGCGGCAGAGGGAGAUGGAAUUCCGCGUGUAGCAGUGAAAUGCGUAGAUAUGCGGAGGAACACCGAUGGCGAAGGCAAUCUCCUGGGCCUGCACUGACGCUCAUGCACGAAAGCGUGGGGAGCAAACAGG
rnacentral:rRNA from 1 species